ensembl:lncRNA
AUCCCUGGAUGUGUCCCAUCUAUGGACCCCAUGGGGACCCCAUGCCCCAUCUGUGGACAUGUCCCAUUCCAUGGACACAUGUCCCAUCUGUGGACAUGUGCCACAUCUAUGGAUAUGUGUCCCUUCCAAGGACAUGUGCCACAUCCACGAGCACGUGUCCCAUCCAUGGAUACAUGCGCCAUCUAUGGGACAUAUGUCCCAUCCAUGGACCUUGUGCCCCAUCUAUGGGCACAUGUACAGUCCUUGGGCACAUGCACCAUCCAUGGACGUGUCCCAUCCAUGGACACAUGCCCCGUCCAAGGUCCCCAUGUCCCAUCUAUGGACACAUAUUCCAUACCUGGACACAUGUCCCGUCCAAGGUCCCCAUGUCCCAUCCAUGGGCCUUGUGCCCCAUCUGCCUACACAUGUCCCAUCCAUGGACUGACGCAUGAGCAUGUCCCCAGGACCAGUCUUGAGCCCCAACCAUGUCCCCAAGGUGGCCACGAACCCUGAAGGCAUCCCCGAGACAGUCAUGAACCCAGAGUGAGUGUGUCCCCAAGGUGGCCGUGAACCCAGGGCCUCGGCUGACCUGUGCCCACGCCGCAGGCGAAGAGCACAGAGGAAGGCCUGCAGAACGUGGAUGAUGUGGUGGGACGAUACCACCACUGCUGCCUCUGGUGGGUCGCACCAUGGCUGCCCAUCCUCCGCCUCUUCCACCCGGACACCCUCCGGCCUGUGCUCCUGGCCUCAGCCUUCAUCGCCCCCAAGGACAAGCUCUUCUACAACUUCCUCAAGCCCUGGCUGGGGGACGGGCUGCUGCUGAGCCACGGGCGCAAGUGGGUCCGGCACCGGCGCCUGCUGACGCCGGCUUUUCACCCCGACAUCCUCAAGUCCUACAUGGGCAUCUUCAACCAGAGCACAGAAAUCAUGCAUGUGAGGCUCCUUGGACCCCCACACGCGGUGCAUGCGUGCACACGGGCCCUGACACGUGGUGCUGGCACGCACACGGACCCCAACCUGCACCCGCUGCCCCACACCCAGAUCCUAACCCGCACCUGGACCCCAACCUGCACCUGAAACCCAACCUGCAUCCGCUGCCCCACACCUGGACCCCAACCUUCACCCUCUGCCCUGCUCCCAGACCCCGCACCUGGACCCCAACCUGCACCCACUGCCCCACUCUGGACCCCACACCUGGACCCCAACCUUCACCCACUGCCCUGCACCCAAGACCCUGCACCCAAACUCCAAACCAUACCCGCUGCCCUGCUCCCAGACACCAACCCACACCCAGAUCCCAACCUGCACCCGCUGCCCCACACCUGGAUCCCGAACCGCACCCGCUGCCCCUCACCCAGACCCCGCACCCAGACCUCAACUCACACCCGGACCCCGAUCCCCAUCCACAGGCCAAGUGGCGGCGGGGGCACCGGUGGUGCUGGACGUCUUUGAGCCCCUGGCCCUGCUCACCCUUGACACCCUCCAGAAAUGCAUCUUCAGCCAUGACAGUCACUGCCAGGAGUGAGCGCCACCAUGGGACUCGGGUCCCCUUGAAUCCUCCCGGUCCCUUCAGCCAGGGUCCCCUGGUCAUCCCACCAGGUCCCCCUUGCCCCGGCUCGGUCCCCUGCUGGGGUCCCCCUGCACCUGAGGUCCCCCCUUGCCCCAGCUUGGUCCACACCAGGGUCCCCCUGGGCUUUGCACCCAUCGAGGUCACCCCUUACCCCAGCUCUGUCCCCUGCCAGGGUCCCCCACACCCACGGCCCUCCCUUACCCCGACUCUGUCCCCGAGCUGGGGCCACCUGGCCCCAGCUCAGGCCUCACCAGGCUCACCCCUUUACCCUGUCUUGGUCCCCACUCGGGUACCUCGCACCCAGGGUCCCCCCCAACCCCAGCUCUGUCUACCACCUGCAUCCCUCCACCUUGACUCUGCCCUUUCCAGGCUCCCACUCUUGCUCCCAGUUGUCCCUCCCGGCUCUGUCCCCACCAGUGUCCACCGGCACCCCAGCUCUGUCCCCAUUGGGUCCCCCCUGCAGUGUCAGACCCAGCCUGGCCCCUCGUGUCCCUGCGGGCAGGAGGGCCACCCCGUGUCCCCACCGCAGCCUGACACAAAUUAG